rnacentral:rRNA from 1 species
AGAGUUUGAUCAUGGCUCAGAACGAACGCUGGCGGCAGGCUUAACACAUGCAAGUCGAACGCCCCUUCGGGGGAGUGGCAGACGGGUGAGUAACGCGUGGGAACCUACCUUUCGGUACGGAACAACAGUUGGAAACGACUGCUAAUACCGUAUACGUCCUUCGGGAGAAAGAUUUAUCGCCGAUAGAGGGGCCCGCGUUGGAUUAGCUUGUUGGUGAGGUAAUGGCUCACCAAGGCGACGAUCCGUAGCUGGUCUGAGAGGAUGAUCAGCCACACUGGGACUUAGACACGGCCCAGACUCCUACGGGAGGCAGCAGUGGGGAAUAUUGGACAAUGGGCGCAAGCCUGAUCCAGCCAUGCCGCGUGAGUGAUGACGGCCCUAGGGUUGUAAAGCUCUUUCAGUGGUGAAGAUAAUGACGGUAACCACAGAAGAAGCCCUGGCUAACUCCGUGCCAGCAGCCGCGGUAAUACGGAGGGGGCAAGCGUUGUUCGGAAUUACUGGGCGUAAAGCGCGCGUAGGCGGGUCUUUAAGUCAGAGGUGAAAUCCUGGAGCUCAACUCCAGAACUGCCUUUGAUACUGGAGAUCUUGAGUCCGGAAGAGGUUAGUGGAAUUCCCAGUGUAGAGGUGAAAUUCGUAGAUAUUGGGAAGAACACCAGUGGCGAAGGCGGCUAACUGGUCCGGUACUGACGCUGAGGUGCGAAAGCGUGGGGAGCAAACAGAAUUAGAUACCCUGGUAGUCCACGCCGUAAACGAUGAGAACUAGAUGUCGGGGGAAUUUGUCCUUCGGUGUCGCAGCUAACGCGUUAAGUUCUCCGCCUGGGGAGUACGCCGGCAACGGUAAAACUCAAAGGAAUUGACGGGGACCCGCACAAGCGGUGGAGCAUGUGGCUUAAUUCGAUGCAACGCGAAGAACCUUACCUGCCCUUGACAUUGACAGAAUCCCGUAGAGAUAUGGGAGUGCUUCGGCCUGGAAAACAGGUGCUGCAUGGCUGUCGUCAGCUCGUGUCGUGAGAUGUUGGGUUAAGUCCCGCAACGAGCGCAACCCUUGUCCUUAGUUGCCAGCACGUAAUGGUGGGAACUCUAGGGAGACUGCCGGUGACAAACCGGAGGAAGGUGGGGACGACGUCGAGUCAUCAUGGCCCUUAUGGGCAGGGCUACACACGUGCUACAAUGGCGGAUACAGAGGGUUGCCAACCAGCAAUGGUGCGCUAAUCCCUUAAAGCCCGUCGUAGUCCGGAUUGGAGUCUGCAACUCGACUCCAUGAAGUCGGAAUCGCUAGUAAUCGCGAAUCAGAAUGUCGCGGUGAAUACGUUCCCGGGUCUUGUACACACCGCCCGUCACACCAUGGAAGUAGGUUGCACCAGAAGUAGGUAGUCUAACCCUCGGGAGGACGCUUACCACGGUGUGGCUUAUGACUGGGGUGAAGUCGUAACAAGGUA